rnacentral:misc_RNA from 1 species
UCUCCGUAGGUGAACCUGCGGAGGGAUCAUUACUGAGUGAGGGCUUCGGUCCGACCUCCAACCCUUUGUGAACUAAACUUGUUGCUUCGGGGGCGACCCUGCCGCUUCGGCGGUGCGGCGCCCCCGGAGGCCAUUAAACACUGCAUCAUUGCGUCGGAGUUAAAGUAAAUUAAACAAAACGUUCAACAACUGAGCUCUUGGUUCCAGCAUCGAUGAAGAACGCAGC